rnacentral:rRNA from 1 species
GCAGUCGAACGGAACCAUCCAAUUGAGUAAUCGAGAGGGUGGUUAGUGGCGAAAGGGUGAGUAACGGACGGGUAACGCACCCCGUGCUUCGGAAUAGCGUCGUUCGCCUUCGGGCGAACUACCGAAAGGGGCGGUAAUACCGGAUGAUGUCACUUGUCGGUGGGCAAGUGACCAAAGAUUUAUCGGCAUGGGAGCGGCCUAUCUCCUAUCAGCUUGUUGGUGGGGUAAGAGCUCACCAAGGCUAUGACGGGUAGCGGGACUGAGAGGUUGGCCCGCCACAUCGGGACUGAGACACUGCCCGGACCUCCACGGAGGGCUGCAGUAACGAAUAUUGCGCAAUGGGCGAAAGCCUGACGCAGCAACGCCGCGUGCGGGAUGAAGUCUUUCGGGAUGUAAACCGCUGUCAGGGGUAAGAAAGUGCGCUCCGGCGUAUUGAUCUAACCCAAAGGAAGUCACGGCUAACUUCGUGCCAGCAGCCGCGGUAAGACGAAGGUGGCUAGCGUUGUUCGGUGUCACUGGGCUUAAAGCGUGUGUAGGCGGAGAAGUAAGCGUCUUGUGAAAUCCCCCGGCUUAACCGGGGAACUGCUGGACGAACUGCUUUUCUUGAGGCAAGCAGGGGUGCAUGGAACUCUUGGUGGAGCGGUGGAAUGCGUAGAUAUCAAGAGGAACGCCUGUGGUGAAAACGGUGCACUGGGCUUGUUCUGACGCUGAGACACGAAAGCGUGGGGAGCGAACGGGAUUAGAUACC